CGACCGGCGCACGGGUGAGUAACGCGUAUGUAAUCUACCUGUAACAGAGGGAUAACCCGGAGAAAUCCGGACUAAUACCUCAUAGCACAUAUUAUUCGCAUGAAUUUUAUGUUAAAGAGACUCGGUUACAGAUGAACAUGCGUUCCAUUAGCUAGUUGGCGGGGUUACGGCCCACCAAGGCAACGAUGGAUAGGGGUUCUGAGAGGAAGGUCCCCCACACUGGUACUGAGACACGGGCCAG
rnacentral:rRNA from 1 species